ACGGCUCAGUAACACGUAGCUAACAUGCCCUAGGAAGGGGGAUACACCCGCAAACGUGGGCUCAAUACCCCAUAGGUGAUGGAGGCUGGAAACGGCCCUUUUCGCUCGCUAGCGCUCGCAAAAGCGCUGGCGGAAAAACGAAAAUCGAAAAGGGUUGCCAGAACGCACCAUUGCUGAAACCUCAGAGGUCCUAGGAUUGGGCUGCGGCCGAUUAGCUCGUAGUCGGGGUAAAUAAUAGCUUGCGGUUAUUGUAAGAAUUUCCGCAAGUUAGGUUACAAUCCCGACCAGGCGAUAAUCGGUACGGGUCAUGAGAGUGAUAGCCCGGAGAUGCAUUCUGAGAUUUGCAGAGCAGAGACAAUUUGAGCGACUACAAUGGGAUGUAGCGCAUUUGCGUUUGCAUCAAUGAAAAAUGCUCUGGAACUUUUCUGUUCUGCGAACAGAAAACAUGAAUGCAGGCCUUACGGGGCGCAGCAGGCGCGAAAACUCCCCAAUACCAGCAAUGGUGAGGGCGGGGGACCCUGAGUGAUGUCGGUUUCCGACAUCUUUUGCCAAGUGCAAAUAGCUUGGAGAAUAAGUGGUGGGCAAGACGGUUGCCAGCCAUUUUGGAAGUUGAGUAGCUAGAUAGCGAAUAGCUUCGCUUUUCUUUACGGUAACUGAAUUACGCAGACCGCAUUGAUGCGGGCGAAGAUAUAAAUAUCAAUUUCUAAACUGGAAGCCGCGGUAAUAACCGCGCCCNAGUGGUUUCUCACGAUUAUUGGGUCUAAAGCAUCCGUAGCCGGUUCUUCAAGUCUUUGGUGAAAUCCUGAAGCAAACUUCAGGAAGUGCCAGAGAUACUGCUGGACUAGGGACUGGUAGAGGUGCGGGGUACGUUGGAGGUAGGGGUAAAAUCCUUUAAUCUCCCACGGACCACCUGUGGCGAAGGCGCCGCACUAGGACAGAUCCGACGGUGAGGGAUGAAAGCGUGGGGAGCGAUUGGGAUUAGAUUGGCCCUUUCUUGCGAAGAAAGCGCCACAUGGAGAAGCACAGCUUCUCCUGUGCAGCAGAACUCGAAAGUUCUGCCAGCAGCGGAAAGAACCGCUGGAAAUCUUGGAAGGAUCCUAAAAACCCCAGUAGUCCACGCAGUAAACGAUGCCCGCUUGAUGUUGCAUGUCCUACGAGGAUAUGCAGUAUCGUAGCGAAGGCGUUAAGCGGGCCACCUGGGAAGUACGGUCGCAAGACUGAAUUUCUCGGAAGACGAUCUUCCAGAACAGUUAACUUAAAGGAAAGAAUGAGAACAACGAAUAGCUCGCCUUAGCGAGUUAGAAUAUGUUUUCUUUCCAGGAAUUGGCGGGGGAGCAC
rnacentral:rRNA from 1 species